ensembl:snoRNA SNORA62 Small nucleolar RNA SNORA62/SNORA6 family
UCCGCACACUGUUAAAGCUUAGGGUGGAAGCUGGUCUUGGUAUUGUGAACUUUUGAAUGCUGGGUGUGUGCUAUAACAAUGGCGGGGGUUUUGCUAACUCCAGUAGAGCUAGGCUAUAUGCCUAGACUUUGGUAGUAGUUACUGCCACAUAU